GCGAUACAAAAUCAAACAAAAAAACAUAACACAACAAAUAACAAAACUUAUACAAAAUCAAACAAAGAAUAUAACCGUCUAUUUAAGAUUUUUCUUUUAUGCAUUCAAUCUUCCAAAUGUCCUCAUUCUCGAAGAUUAAGAUUAAAGGGGAAAUUUCUUUUCCAGAAAUUCAGAAUUUCAUCUAUUUUUUUUUAUAGUUUUCUAAUUUUCAAAUGUUAGUUUCAUGGUAUUUCAAGGGUUUUCUUACUAUAUCAAUUUCGAUUUUGAUGAUGUGUUUCACUGAAGGAAUCUCGCUGGAAAAACCUCCAACAACAACUACUCCAAAAUCAGACUUUAAGGGAGUACGUGGAUUGUGAGGGAUAACCUUUUUUGAAGUGGGGAAUCGGUUAUUCUUAGUGAACGACAACUUGUGGAUUGUGAUCAUUAGUGUGAGCCGAAAAGAAUUCAUGUGAUGCUGGCUCCACUGGUGGGCUAAUGAACUAUGCAUUUGAGUAUAUACCGAAGGCUGGUGGAGUUCAAAAAGAAUCAGAUUACCCCUACACUGAAAAGGAUGGUAAAUGUCACUUUGACAAAAUCCAAAAUCGCUCCGUCUGUAAUGAAUUUCAGUGUCUUUAGUACAAAUGAAUAACGAAUUGCUGUCAAUUUGAUCAACCGUGGCCCCCUAGAUAGGCAACUAUCCUACCAAAUCAUCACCAUUAAGUAACUUUUUCGUUUCUUCUUUUUGUUCUAAAGUUUCUAAGUUUAAUACUAUAGUGUUGUUGUAGUUGGAAUCAAUGCAACUUGGAUACAAAAACAUAUGUUGGAGAAGGUUCUUGCCCUUAAAAAACUAUACAUAUUCUUUUGGUUGGGAAUGCAUCAGCCAGUUAUGCAUGUAGUUAUCUUAAGGAGAAGCCAUAUUGGAUAAUCAAGAACUCAUGGUACCGGACUGGGGCCGGAGAGGAUGGAUACUAUAAGAUUUGCAGUGGUCAUAAUCAAGGUGGAUUAUCUGAAUGCCACAAUAUUUAUAUCACAAUCUAUGGGAAAGGAUCAGCCUCUUCUUUCGUUUUUCGUAGGAAAAGUGAAACAAUAGUUUAUAUUAAAUUUGUGUGUGGAUUUCAGUAGAGGUGCGGGAAAAGGUGAUAGAGCCAUUUUUAUAUACCUGUGUUGUGCUAGGUUAGGCUUGUCCAUGGAUGAAAGAAGCAGAUAAAGAGAAAACGAAAGAAAUAGAUAGAUAACCUCCGUUAAGUUUGCACUGUUCUUGCAGCAUAGAAUUGAAUGUUUUAGAUGGCUUUUGUGGACUAUGUGCUGUAACUACUGUGUAUCCGUAUGCAUACAUUAUUAGAUAUAUGAAAAAUAUAUAAUUAUGCGUAAAAAAAUGUUAUGGUAUUUAUAGUGUCAAAA